rnacentral:snRNA from 1 species
AUCGCUUCUCGGCCUUUUGGCUCAGAUCAAGUGUAGUAUCUGUUCUUAUCAGUUUAAUAUCCGAUACGUCCCCCAUCGGGGACUACAUAUUAAAUGGAUUUUUCGAACAGGGAGUCGGAAAUGGGGCUUGCUCCGUCCGCUCCACGCAUCGACCCGGUAUUGCAGUACCUCCGGGAACGGUGCAACACUU